GACGAACGCUGGCGGCGUGCUUAACACAUGCAAGUCGAACGAAGUCGCGAACGGGUGAGUAACUCGUAAUCAACCUGCCCUUCAGAGGGGGACAACAGUUGGAAACCACUGCUAAUACCGCAUACUGAAGGAGGGGAUUGCGUCUGAGAAGCUAGUUGGAGGGGUAACGGACCACCAAGGCGAUGAUCAGUAGCCGGUCUGAGAGGAUGAACGGACAAAUUGGGAAGGAGACACGGCCCAGACUCCUACGGGAGGCAGCAGUGGGAAAACUUCCGCAAGGGACGAAAGUCUGACGGAGCAACGCCGCGUAAUAC
rnacentral:rRNA from 1 species